GAGUUUGAUCAUGGCUCAGGACGAACGCUGGCGGCGUGCCUAAUACAUGCAAGUCGAACGAACUCUGGUAUUGAUUGGUGCUUGCAUCAUGAUUUACAUUUGAGUGAGUGGCGGACUGGUGAGUAACACGUGGGAAACCUGCCCAGAAGCGGGGGAUAACACCUGGAAACAGAUGCUAAUACCGCAUAACAACUUGGACCGCAUGGUCCGAGUUUGAAAGAUGGCUUCGGCUAUCACUUUUGGAUGGUCCCGCGGCGUAUUAGCUAGAUGGUGGGGUAACGGCUCACCAUGGCAAUGAUACGUAGCCGACCUGAGAGGGUAAUCGGCCACAUUGGGACUGAGACACGGCCCAAACUCCUACGGGAGGCAGCAGUAGGGAAUCUUCCACAAUGGACGAAAGUCUGAUGGAGCAACGCCGCGUGAGUGAAGAAGGGUUUCGGCUCGUAAAACUCUGUUGUUAAAGAAGAACAUAUCUGAGAGUAACUGUUCAGGUAUUGACGGUAUUUAACCAGAAAGCCACGGCUAACUACGUGCCAGCAGCCGCGGUAAUACGUAGGUGGCAAGCGUUGUCCGGAUUUAUUGGGCGUAAAGCGAGCGCAGGCGGUUUUUUAAGUCUGAUGUGAAAGCCUUCGGCUCAACCGAAGAAGUGCAUCGGAAACUGGGAAACUUGAGUGCAGAAGAGGACAGUGGAACUCCAUGUGUAGCGGUGAAAUGCGUAGAUAUAUGGAAGAACACCAGUGGCGAAGGCGGCUGUCUGGUCUGUAACUGACGCUGAGGCUCGAAAGUAUGGGUAGCAAACAGGAUUAGAUACCCUGGUAGUCCAUACCGUAAACGAUGAAUGCUAAGUGUUGGAGGGUUUCCGCCCUUCAGUGCUGCAGCUAACGCAUUAAGCAUUCCGCCUGGGGAGUACGGCCGCAAGGCUGAAACUCAAAGGAAUUGACGGGGGCCCGCACAAGCGGUGGAGCAUGUGGUUUAAUUCGAAGCUACGCGAAGAACCUUACCAGGUCUUGACAUACUAUGCAAAUCUAAGAGAUUAGACGUUCCCUUCGGGGACAUGGAUACAGGUGGUGCAUGGUUGUCGUCAGCUCGUGUCGUGAGAUGUUGGGUUAAGUCCCGCAACGAGCGCAACCCUUAUUAUCAGUUGCCAGCAUUAAGUUGGGCACUCUGGUGAGACUGCCGGUGACAAACCGGAGGAAGGUGGGGAUGACGUCAAAUCAUCAUGCCCCUUAUGACCUGGGCUACACACGUGCUACAAUGGAUGGUACAACGAGUUGCGAACUCGCGAGAGUAAGCUAAUCUCUUAAAGCCAUUCUCAGUUCGGAUUGUAGGCUGCAACUCGCCUACAUGAAGUCGGAAUCGCUAGUAAUCGCGGAUCAGCAUGCCGCGGUGAAUACGUUCCCGGGCCUUGUACACACCGCCCGUCACACCAUGAGAGUUUGUAACACCCAAAGUCGGUGGGGUAACCUUUUAGGAACCAGCCGCCUAAGGUGGGACAGAUGAUUAGGGUGAAGUCGUAACAAGGUAACC
rnacentral:rRNA from 2 species